rnacentral:rRNA from 1 species
AUUGAACGCUGGCGGCAUGCUUUACACAUGCAAGUCGAACGGUAACAGGCCUUCGGGUGCUGACGAGUGGCGAACGGGUGAGUAAUGCAUCGGAACGUGCCCAGAGGUGGGGGUAACGCAGCGAAAGCUGUGCUAAUACCGCAUGUGAUCUGAGGAUGAAAGCGGGGGACCAGGCAGCAAUGUUUGGCCUCGCGCCUUUGGAGCGGCCGAUGUCAGAUUAGGUAGUUGGUGGGGUAAAGGCCUACCAAGCCGACGAUCUGUAGCUGGUCUGAGAGGACGACCAGCCACACUGGGACUGAGACACGGCCCAGACUCCUACGGGAGGCAGCAGUGGGGAAUUUUGGACAAUGGGCGCAAGCCUGAUCCAGCAAUGCCGCGUGCGGGAAGAAGGCCUUCGGGUUGUAAACCGCUUUUGUACGGAACGAAAAGGCUCUGGCUAAUACCUGGGGCUGAUGACGGUACCGUAAGAAUAAGCACCGGCUAACUACGUG